rnacentral:lncRNA from 1 species
AGGUUGAAAACAAAUUUCCAAUUUUUGCCUUUUUGUGACAAAAUUUUCCACAGUAACGUAUAUAUUUUUUUACACCACCAGAAAAUAGAGGUUUCAAUAAACAAAAAAAAUGCCAACUUCUUUAAAAAAGC